rnacentral:rRNA from 1 species
UGGGGAAUAUUGGACAAUGGGCGGAAGCCUGAUCCAGCAACGCCGCGUGAGGGAUGACGGCCUUCGGGUUGUAAACCUCUUUCAAGUACCGUACGAAGCGUGAGUGACGGUAGGUACAGAAGAAGCACCGGCCAACUACGUGCCAGCAGCCGCGGUAAUACGUAGGGUGCGAGCGUUGUCCGGAAUUAUUGGGCGUAAAGGGCUCGUAGGCGGUUUGUCGCGUCGGGAGUGAAAACCUCGGGCUUAACUCGGGGCUUGCUUUCGAUACGGGCAGACUGGAGGUAUGCAGGGGAGAACGGAAUUCCUGGUGUAGCGGCGAAAUGCGCAGAUAUCAGGAGGAACACCGGUUGGCGAAGGCGGUUCUCUGGGCAUGACCUGACGCUGAGGAGCGAAAGUGU